GUAACUAUUUGUGUCAAACCAUGAAAAACAAAGGAUCAUCAACAAGAGGACAAAAACGUAGAAUUGCAUUGAAGAAUCAACAAUAAAACCAUAAGAGGAACUACAAAGACAAAGGGACAAAACCUACCCUCCACCGCGGCCCAACCGUCUUCCAGCUUUGUCAAAUGCAAGUCC